rnacentral:rRNA from 1 species
AUACGUAGGGGGCGAGCGUUGUCCGGAAUGAUUGGGCGUAAAGGGCGCGUAGGCGGCCCGGUAAGUCUGGAGUGAAAGUCCUGUUUUUAAGAUGGGAAUUGCUUUGGAUACUGUCGGGCUUGAGUGCAGGAGAGGUAAGUGGAAUUCCCAGUGUAGCGGUGAAAUGCGUAGAGAUUGGGAGGAACACCAGUGGCGAAGGCGACACGCUGGACAGGAACUGACGCGGAGCAACAAAGGGUUGGUGAGCAAACAGGAUUAGAGCCCCUGGUAAGCCACGCCGUAAACGAUGAGCGCUAGGUGUCGGGGGUCAAACCUCGGUGCCGCAGUUAACACAUUAAGCACUCCGCCUGGGGAGUACGGUGGCAACACUGAAACUCAAAUGAAUUGACGGGG